rnacentral:rRNA from 1 species
UAGGGAAUCUUCCGCAAUGGACGAAAGUCUGACGGAGCAACGCCGCGUGAGUGAAGAAGGAUUUCGGUUCGUAAAACUCUGUUGUUAGGGAAGAAAAAAUGUAUAGUAACUAUAUACAAAAGAGACGGUACCUAACCAGAAAGCCACGGCUAAUUACGUGCCAGCAGCCGCGGUAAUACGUAGGUGGCAAGCGUUGUCCGGAAUUAUUGGGCGUAAAGCGCGCGCAGGUGGUUUAGAAAGUCUGAUGUGAAAGCCCACGGCUCAACCGUGGAGGGUCAUUGGAAACUAAUAAACUUGAGUGCAGGAGAGAAAAGUGGAAUUCCUAGUGUAGCGGUGAAAUGCGUAGAGAUUAGGAGGAACACCGGUGGCGAAAGCGGCUUUUUGGCCUGCAACUGACACUGAGGCGCGAAAGCGUGGGGAGCAAACAGG